GACGGUUUUUUUUCAAAACAAGGAGAUAGCUGUCGGUCGUGCAAGGGAAACUUAUAUGGUAGGAGAUGUCUUAAUGUAUGCAUAUGCACAGAAAAUCAAAUAUGUGACCAUAUUAAUGGAUGCUUAAGUUUGCCAUCUUCAAGUGUCAACACGAUUGUUGAAGGCAGCACAGGUCUGUAUCCAUGGAUAUCAUCUUCAGGUACAGCGUUGCAGGAAAUAGAAUACAAUGAACCUA